GAUGAACGCUAGCGGCAGGCUUAACACAUGCAAGUCGAGGGGUAUAGUUCUUUGGAACUAGAGACCGGCGCACGGGUGCGUAACGCGUAUGCAAUCUACCUUUUGCAGAGGGAUAGCCCAGAGAAAUUUGGAUUAAUACCUCAUAGUAUGUGAGAAUGGCAUCAUUUUCACAUUAAAGUCACAACGGCAAAAGAUGAGCAUGCGUCCCAUUAGCUUGUUGGUAAGGUAACGGCUUACCAAGGCAACGAUGGGUAGGGGUCCUGAGAGGGAGAUCCCCCACACUGGUACUGGGAACCGGACCAGACUCCUACGGGAGGCAGCAGGGAGGAAUAUUGGACAAGGGGCGCAAGCCUGAUCCAGCCAUGCCGCGUGCAGGAUGACGGUCCUAUGGAUUGUAAACUGCUUUUGUACAGGAAGAAACACUGGUUCGUGAACCAGCUUGACGGUACUGUAAGAAUAAGGAUCGGCUAACUCCGUGCCAGCAGCCGCCGUAAAAC
rnacentral:rRNA from 1 species